rnacentral:SRP_RNA from 1 species
UUGUGCUAGGCGGGGAGCUAGCGGUGCCCUUUUCCCGAAAUCCGCUUUAUGCGGGGCUGAAUUCCCUCUAGAGGGUUUGAUUUGGGACUCUAUUCUUCAUUUUGACCGACCGCCGCGCAACAGACGGUUACGAACCUCGUCAGGUCCGGAAGGAAGCAGCGAUAAGUAAUGCAGUCUGUGUCACGGAUCGGUCUCGGUCAUACAUAUGGUGAAUGUGUUUCAGAAAAGAUACGACAGAGGGUGCACAA